GUGAGUGAAGAAGGGCAAGGCCCGCUCGUAAAGCUCUUUUGUCGAGUGCGCGAUCAUGACAGGACUCGAGGAAGAAGCCCCGACUAACUCCGUGCCAGCAGCCGCGGUAAGACGAGGGGGGC
rnacentral:ncRNA from 1 species